GUGAAUCAUCAAAUUUUUGAACGCAAAUUGCACUCUCUUCGGAGAGUAUGCCUGUUUGAGGGUCAGUAUUAAUAAAAGUCGGUGUGUUGCUUCUUUGUGACGCUCCGGAGUUUGGGUCAUCUUAAUAUCCUUUAGGUUUUAAGAGGCUUAAAAUUGACUUUUUUUCGCAUUUUUGGUUGAACAUAAUUUUUUUUUUUAUUUGUUUGUUUUUAUUCUCAAAAUUCUAAUAGAAUCC
rnacentral:misc_RNA from 1 species